AGCAAGUGGCUGUGGUCCCCUUCCACGGUGUGGGGGCUUUGUUCUUUCCCUCUUUGCAAUAAAUCUUGCUGCUGCUCACUCUUUGGGUCCACACUGUCUUUAUGAGCUGUAACAUUCACCGCGAAGGUUUGCAGCUUCACUCCUUAAGCCAGUGAAACCACUAACCCACCAAGAAGAAUGAACAAACAACUCCAGACGCGCGGCCUUAAGAGCUGUAACACUCACCGCGAAGGUCCGCAGCGUCUCUCCUGAGCUAGUGUGACCACGAACCAACCAGAAGGAACAAACUCCGAACACGCCGCCUUUAAGAACUGUAAUACUCACCGCGACGGCUUUUAAGAACUGUAACACUCACCGCGACGGUCGGCGGCUUCAUUCUUGAAGUCAGUCAGACCAAGAACCUACCAAUUCCGGACGCACUACCCGGGGGACAUGAUAAAUCUGGGAAGGGCACCUCAGGUUUUAUCUUCAUCAGCCUGGUCAAAGCUGGAUUUCCAUCACACAUGUGCUCACUCCACGGAACGUGCAAAAGGUCAAGACAUACAAACUCAGAGUUUUUAAAAUCAAGAAUUGAAAGUGGUCCACUAGCUUCUGUUCAUAGGACAUUGAGCCCCAGAUUUGGCACAUGACCUCUUAAGGCUCUAAUAUCUUGUCUUCUGGCUAUGAGAACAGAGCAUAUGGUUUGCUUGAAGAUUCUUGUUCAACACUUAUCCAUUAAUCUGACAGCAGGAAGUGCUAAAGAGCAGAAACAGGAGUCGGUCAGACUCUCACCUCAAGUCCAAGGCAAAUAUGCUUGCCCCUAAAAGACAUACUUGAUCUUCAAGUUCAGGAAAACCAGAUACAAAGCAGGCGUCUUCUCUAUUUGGUUUCCAUUUCGAAAUCAUGAAAUGAACGUACCGUCCUGACCUCCAGCCAUCUGUUGGCAGCUGAGAGAAAUAAGUAGGCAAUGUUGUUUGUAUCCGUCAGUUCCAGCAUACGUUGUUUAAAUCUGGUUUCAUGCCUGCAGAAAACAAAAACACGAUGUUAACCACACAACAGGAGAGAUGGAGUCUCGCUCUGUUGCCCAGGCUGGAGUGCAGUGG